rnacentral:rRNA from 1 species
GACGAACGCUGGCGGCGUGCUUAACACAUGCAAGUCGAACGGAAAGGCCCUGCUUUUGUGGGGUGCUCGAGUGGCGAACGGGUGAGUAACACGUGAGUAACCUGCCCUUGACUUUGGGAUAACUUCAGGAAACUGGGGCUAAUACCGGAUAGUAUCUCCUGCUGCAUGGUGGGGGUUGGAAAGUUUCGGCGGUUGGGGAUGGACUCGCGGCUUAUCAGCUUGUUGGUGGGGUAGUGGCUUACCAAGGCUUGGCCGGGUAGCCGGCCUGAGAGGGUGACCGGCCACAUUGGGACUGAGAUACGGCCCAGACUCCUACGGGAGGCAGCAGUGGGGAAUAUUGAACAAUGGGCGGAAGCCUGAUGCAGCAACGCCGCGUGCGGGAUGACGGCCUUCGGGUUGUAAACCGCUUUCGCCUGUGACGAAGCGUGAGUGACGGUAAUGGGUAAAGAAGCACCGGCUAACUACGUG